ACUGCUCAGUAACACGUGGAUAACCUGCCCUAAGGAAGGGGAUAACCUCGGGAAACUGAGGAUAAUACCCUAUAGGUUACAGACGCUGGAAUGCCCUGUAACCGAAAGUUCCGGCGCCUUAGGAUGGAUCUGCGGCCGAUUAGGUUGUUGUUGGGGUAACGGCCCAACAAGCCGAUAAUCGGUACGGGUUGUGGGAGCAAGAGCCCGGAGUUGGAUUCUGAGACAUGAAUCCAGGCCCUACGGGGCGCAGCAGGCGCGAAAACUUUACAAUGCGGGAAACCGUGAUAAGGGAACCCCGAGUGCCUGUAUAUGCAGGCUGUCCAGGUGUCUAAAAAACACCUGAAGAAAGGGCCGGGCAAGACCGGUGCCAGCCGCCGCGGUAAUACCGGCGGCUCGAGUGGUGGCCACUUUUAUUGGGCUUAAAGCGUUCGUAGCUGGGUUGUUAAGUCUCUUGGGAAAUCUGACGGCUCAACCGUCAGGCGUCCAAGGGAUACUGGCAAUCUUGGAACCGGGAGAGGUGAGGGGUACUUCGGGGGUAGGAGUGAAAUCCUGUAAUCCUCGAGGGACCACCUGUGGCGAAGGCGCCUCACCAGAACGGCUUCGACAGUGAGGGACGAAAGCUGGGGGAGCAAACCGGAUUAGAUACCCGGGUAGUCCCAGCCGUAAACGAUGCGCGUUAGGUGUAUCGGUGACCACGAGUCGCCGAGGUGCCGAAGGGAAACCGUGAAACGUGCCGCCUGGGAAGUACGGUCGCAAGGCUGAAACUUAAAGGAAUUGGCGGGGGAGCAC
rnacentral:rRNA from 1 species